GUCUACAGCCAUACUACCCAGAAUGCACCCAAUCUCAUCUGAUCUCAGAAACUAACAGGGUCAGGCCUGGUUAGUAUUCCAAUGGCAACAGUCAUGUUCAUUCAUGGAUACUUAUUCA
rnacentral:rRNA from 1 species